UUUGCACCUGAGCCUGACAUCGUAGAAGGACCAUUGUUGCAUCAGAUUGGAUUUUUCACCUGAGUCUGACAUCGUAGAAGGACAAUUUUUGCAUCAGAUUAGAUUUUUCACCUGAGUCUGACAUCGUAGAAGGAC